AAUAUUGGACAAUGGGGGCAACCCUGAUCCAGCCAUGCCGCGUGUGUGAAGAAGGUCUUCGGAUUGUAAAGCACUUUAAGUUGGGAGGAAGGGCUUUAGGUUAAUACCCUGAAGUUUUGACGUUACCAACAGAAUAAGCACCGGCUCACUUCGUGCCAGCAGCCGCGGUAAAACGAAGGGUGCCAGCGUUAAUCGGAAUUACUGGGCGUAAAUGGCGAGUAGGGUGUUCAGUAAGAUUGGUGUGUAAUCCCCGAGCUUAACCUGGGAACUGGUUUCAUAACUGCUGAGCUAGAGUACGGUAGAGGGUAGUGGAAUUUCCUGUGUAGCGGUGAAAUGUGUAGAUAUAGGGAGGGCCACCAGUGGCGAAAGCGACUACCUGGGCUGAUACUGGCACUGAGGUGCGAAAGCGUGGGGAGCGAAC
rnacentral:rRNA from 1 species